rnacentral:rRNA from 1 species
UACGGAGGGUGCAAGCGUUAAUCGGAAUUACUGGGCGUAAAGCGUGCGCAGGCGGUUUGUUAAGUCCGCUGUGAAAUCCCCGGGCUCAACCUGGGAAUGGCGAUGGUGACUGCAAGGCUAGAGUUUGGCAGAGGGGGGUAGAAUUCCACGUGUAGCAGUGAAAUGCGUAGAUAUGUGGAGGAACACCGAUGGCGAAGGCAGCCCCCUGGGUCAAAACUGACGCUCAUGCACGAAAGCGUGGGGAGCAAACAGG